AAGCUGAGGAACUGUACCAGAGCUCUCGGAGAUCAACAAAGGUGCCGCUUUUGAAUGUGAAAGUUUUUUCAAGACUUUUCUAUUUCUUGGUUUGAAUCGUGUGCCUGUAGGGACACAUGCUACCUGCUUACUGGACAGUGACUACUUAGGAUAAGGACUCAGGCAAAAUGAUUAGUGGCAGAGGAAUCAUCUAAGAAAACUGAGAAGACUCUGCCAGAGUGAUGGGAAGAAAACUAGAUGAGAAAGCACCAUUCUGGAAGACAUGCUCCCAUGAACCAUGGAGAGAAGAGGAGAGGGAAGAAGUUAUUUGUGAUGUCAUUUGCCUGUGUCAUGGCCUGCCUUCCCUAGAUAUUGUCCUAAUGUGAGCAUCACACCUAAGGUACUGAAGUAGAGUUCUGGCUGUUCCUUACGGACAUCUCUGGUGGUAAGUAAAUACAUAGAGAUUGCUAGUGCCUUUAACAGAACAAUACAUUGUAAGCACAGUUAUCUCAUUUUUAAACAAACUCAUUUAAUAAAUACCUUUGCUUUUAUUAGGUA
rnacentral:lncRNA from 1 species